rnacentral:rRNA from 1 species
ACUAUAAUACUAGCUAACAAAAACAAACCCACAAACAUUAAUAACUAAAACAUUUUUCAUUUUAGUAUAGGAGAUAGAAAAAAUCUUUGAAGCGAUAGAUACAGUACCGCAAGGGAAUAUUGAAAAAGAAAUAAAACAAACCAUAAAAGUACAAAAAAGCAUGGAUUAACACCAGUACCUUUUGCAUUAUGGUCUAGCCAGUCAGUUAAUGGCAAAUAGACUUUUAGUCAAACAACCCGAAACUAAAUGAGCUAUCUAAAAGCAGAUUACAUAGCACUAAUCCGUCUCUGUGGCAAAAGAGUGGAAAGACUUUUAAAUAGCGGCGACACACCUAACGAAUUUAGUGAUAGCUGGUUGCCCAAUAAACGAGUUUUAGCCCAGCCCUAAGUCUUAUAUUAAUUCCACUACAAUAAUAACAAAAACUUAGGAGUAAUUCAAUGGAGGAACAGCCCCAUUGAAAAAGAAUACAACCUACAACAAUGGGUAAUGAUUACAAUACACAAAGAUUAAUUCACCAAGUAGGCCUAAAAGCAGCCAUCAACACAAGACAGCGUCAUAGCUUAAACAAUUACAAAAUCAACAAAUAUCAAUACACACCUCAAAACCCUAAAAACCAAAUGGGCCACACUAUACCGAUAUAGCCAAGCAUAUACUAGAAUUAGUAAUAAGAAAAUACGAUUUUCUCUUAGCACUAGUGUAAACCAGAUCGAACAAAUCCCUGGAACCUACCGACGAAAAAAUAUACAAACACAGUUAACUAGCUUACUCUAUCUUAACUAUCGUUAACCCAACACAGGAGUGCAACAAGGAAAGACAAAAAGAUAAAAAAGGAAUUCAGCAAACACAAGCUCCGCCUGUUUACCAAAAACAUCACCUCUAGCAAAACAUAUAUUAGAGGCACUGCCUGCCCAAUGAGAUCAACCCUUUAAUGGCCGCAGUAUUCUGACUGUGCAAAGGUAGCACAAUCACUUGUCUUUUAAAUAAAGACUAGUAUGAACGGCAAGACGAGAACUUAACUGUCUCUUUUAUCUAGUCAAUGAAAUUGACCACCAGGUCCAAAGGCCUGAAUAAAAUAAUAAGACGAGAAGACCCUAUGGAACUUUAAACACAUCGCCCAAUUUAAUUUAAACUUAUUAACCCUGGCUGUAUUGUUUUUGGUUGGGGCAACCGCGGAGAAUAAGCAUCCUCCAAGAACAUAAACCAAGUUUAACACAACAAAGUCUCAUUAUUAUGUUUCACGAUCCAAUACAAUUGAUCAACGAACCAAGCUACCCUAGGGAUAACAGCGCAAUCUUCCCCAAGAGUCCAUAUCAACGAGAAGGCUUACGACCUCGAUGUUGGAUCAGGAUACCCAGACAGUGCAACCGCUGUCAAAGGUUUGUUUGUUCAACAAUUAAAAUCCUACGUGAUCUGAGUUCAGACCGGAGCAAUCCAGGUCAGUUUCUAUCUAUUAAACUAAUCUCUCCAGUACGAAAGGACCGAGAGAAAUGGACCUAUGAUAUUUAUCAAGUCCUCAAAUCAAUAUGUGAAAACAACUAAACACUACAACACUUAUUUUAACCCUAGAUUAGGGACU